AGGAUGAGAGGACAAACCAGAGUGUCCAGCAGGCUCUGAGACGAUAUGACAACGAGUCACAUGACGACUGGGACAUCCACCUUCCAGCAGUCGUGUAUGGCAUUAACACAACUUCACAGGCCUCCACGAAGUGCACUCCGUUUUUCCUCAUGUUUCACCGACAUCCUCGCUUUCCUGAAGUGAGAUGGAGAUUCAUGGGAGGUUGGAGGUCCAGAGGAAGACAUGGACACCACAGUUGAUAAGAUAAGACUCCUGAAUGAGAAGGUCCUUCAAAACAUUGAACUGGCUCAGGAAAGACAGAAGAAAAAGUCUGUUUGAGUGUGCACAGUCAAUGUUGGAGAUGAUGUCCUCGUCUCAGGAAGCCCCAAAGAUGGGCUUCGUUCAGCGGCCAUGUCCAGUCAGCAUGAGGGUCCCUUCACUGUUACCAGCAUCUCUUCAAAAGGCGUGGCAACAGUGAGAAAAAGUGAUGGGAAGCACCGGAUGCUCAACAUAAAGCGCCUCAGGCCAUAUAGGAGAUUGGAGACUCUUAGUCGUCUGAUAGCGUUUUGGCCUGACCACCCAUAUUGGACUGACAAGCAGGAUGAUCAUCUCUACGCUUCAUGUGGAGAGACAUGGGAGCAGAAGUUGGGUCCUCUUCAGGAUAAACUGGC